rnacentral:lncRNA from 1 species
AUGCUACUGCUUGCAGCCUUGCCUUGCAGAGCCUCCUGUCCGGGGCCAGGCUGGAGCCCGUGCGGCCAACGUGGUGCCAGCUACGGUAACUGUUACGUGCCUCUCCUGCCAACAGCGGCCACGACCCAGGGCAAGUCAUCUCUGCACCCAACGUGGAGCUCAAACUCAAGACCCCGAGAUCAAGAGUUGCGUGCUUUACCUACUGAGCCAUCCAGGUGCCCCAAACUUGCUUAUUCUUUAACUUAAUUUGUUGCCAUUGUUCCAUUGAUAUAUUGUUCUAUCUGUGAAAAUUGUUUGGUGUCUUGGGAUGGGAUACAACACAAUUUUUCCCACUAAAAUGAAUAGAGGUUUUUAAUUUUUUUUUUCUACAUAACAGCUUUUCACUUAGUAGCAGAAUUUUUAGUCCAUUUAAAGUCACUUAGUCGAAGAUGAGUAUACUAUGUUCAGGGCACCCUAGGAGGCACUAGAAAGCCCAAGAUGAAUUGAACCCAGAUCAUGCCUUCAGCUCGUAAUCUAAUAAGAGGCACUGAUGGGUAAAUGGGCAAUUUAGCAGUAGCAGUGAGAUGAACACUCUAGAGAAGGUUCAGGGAGUUUAGCGCAACCAGGAGAGGGGAAAUCUCUCAGUGGACUUAGGAUUUCAAGGUGGGAGACCAUUCAGGGCUUUUGUUUCAUCCUUCCGUCUUGAGCAAAGCAAAGGUACUUGUAUCUUAUCCCCUUAGUAAUUUGCAAGUUUGGUUGUUAAUCUGUCAUAAAGUAAUUCAAGGGGGGGGAAGUCCUCCAGCCCUCUGCUGGACAGCUCCAGGGACACCUUGAACUCAAAUCACCCAAAGGCCAACUUUGUCUUGGCCACAGGCUUGUGUCCUACAGUUGUCCGAUCCAGAAACUGAAGAGACAUGCCCAGCCCCUUCCUUGCCCUGUUCCACCUGAUCUGAUUCCCAAGCCCUGUCCAUUUUUCAUCCUCAACUUUUCAGAAUCUGCCUACUUCUCUCCAUCCCUUUACCCCCAUCCUAUUCCAAGCCACUUCCUUUCUUCCCCAGGCUCUUCUUUCCCUUCCUCUAAGCUCAGCUCCCCUCCAUUCAUUGCUCAGAAUGUAGACAGAGUGGUAUUCCUAAAGUACAAAUCUAUGUCUCUUUCCAGGCUUAAGACCUGAAGGGCUUACCAUUGCCCUUAUGAUCAAGGCCUUCUGGAUAUUCAGAGCCCAUGAAGAUGUGACUCAAGCCUUCUUUCCCAGCAACAGCUCUUCCCCCUGGGGCCUCCCCAGGCUGCACUUCUUUGUUUCUUAUAGGAACCUAAUCUCUCACCUCUGGACUUUGUACUUGCUAUUCCCCUUCCUAGAACAUCCCCCCACCCAUUUCCCUUCCUUCCUUACUGAACUCCCCCUCAGCUUUGUUCUCAGUCCCUCCCUGAUGCUCUGACAAGGUGAGGGACCCCUGUUAUGUUAUAUUUUGCAGCACCCUCUAAUACCCCUGUCCCAGCGCUAAUCACACUGUAUUGCAACUGAUUAGUUUCCUUCCUUUUUAGACUGUAGGACCCGGAAGGCAGGGGUCAUGGGUGUUCUAGUCAGCAUUAUAUCCCUACUGCCAAGUCCAGUGCUGGCAUAUAGAGGAGGCCCAAUCUAUUGAAGAAUGAAUGAAUGAAUGAAUGAAUGAAUGAAUGAAUGAAUGAAUGAAUUGCUUCCUUUAUAAGUAACUGCAGAAAGUUACCUAUGGGCUUUAACUCAGGAGAUAGAUCGUCAAGAAGGACUUUUUCGACGAUGGUGGUAGGCAUAGGGUAGGUAUAUCUGAAAGUGCCUUAUCCCACAUCAGCUCUUCUUGGUCCUUAAAGGCCUGGAACACAGGUCUGGGCUCCCUAUGAGGUGCCUCUUCUUCCUCUCUGGGUCACCCCCUACCUCCCCAGUGACAGGGCCACACUCUGAUCCUUGCUGUAAUGUAACGACCCUCCCCAAAUCUCAAGACCCUUCUCUGAACAUCUCCCAUUCCCUUCGUGUUGGUGGGUUCUUCAGAGCCAAUGUGAGGACUGGUGUCUGCUUCCAGGAGCAGGUCUAGAAGCCCAACCCCCAAGUGCUGUUGAGUGACCCACCAUUUCCUCUACAACAGUUAUAGAAAGAGCAAUAAAAGAUAAAUUUAAUGAUAGACCA